AAAGACAAGCCACCAUGUUUCGCUGAUAGUCAGAAAUUUUUCAGAAAUUUUCCAAACGCGUUCUUUCUGCUCAAAUCCACUAACCUAACCGAUAUCAUCACUUCUAAUCACAAUCCUGUAAAAAAGAGGAGGGAAAUUGAAAGAGAGAGGAGGGCAUGAUUAGUGGAUUACUCAGUGAGAUGGCUUCUAAACCAGCCUCUCUGCAUGGCACCUAAUAUGGCUCAAUGUAGAACGAGAACUGAUUAGCCACUCGAACAUUCAACAAGACUCGAUAAACAAUCAGCUACACUACACGUACAUACAAUCAAACACAUCACAUUUACACACUUCAAACAUCAUUUCCUCACUUCUGUUGCUGUCCCUCACUGAAAGCCUACUACCGGACACACAACGGCUACUGUCAUCCCUCAAGGCCGAUGCUUGUACGCUUAGCGGCACUCACCCUACCCCACGACAAUAACACACGCCUAACCAGCACACACACACACACACACACACGCCCAACCGGCCAAUCAAACAUCCCAACAGAAUUUACACUCCUUCCUCUUCAUCAUGCCACACUUCACGAACACUCACAUACAACACAUAGUCCCAUCCUAACAUACAAUCAUCUAUCCCAUUCAAGCUUCUAAUAACCUAAAUUCUUUCUACCCACUUAGCUUGCAAUCAAGUCAUAAACAAACAAUAACACAAACAGUUAUCUCACAUCUAUAAAAAUAGAACUCAAAGAACUGAAUAAAGAAAUCAAUAAAAGUAUAUUCGGAUCGCACACAAAUUAUUCUUGUCGCAGCAAUCUGAAGACCUUAGUGUUUCACCUUCAUGAUAUAACUUGUUAUUCUCCAUUCAGACCAUGAAUUUGGAUUUAACUUACUCAUCAAGAAGUUUGACUAAAGGUUUUUCUCUUACUUUAAAUGUCAUCAUAAUGUGAUAUUCAUACCGUUCGUUACUUUAGUCUUACUAAAAUCAUCAAUUUUGUUGGAGUCCUGAAGCAUAUUUUAUUAAACAAUUUAGAUUUUGGAGGUACAAAAAAGCAAAAAACAAAAAAAAAACAGAAAAAUCACUUACACCAACAUACAAAAAGAUUACAGUCUUAUGUCUUGAAGAUGACUCAUGCUGCCAUGUGUAGAAAUCCUUCAAGAGAAACAUAAUAUGGUUAAACUUAACAAAAAACCAAAGAAAAGAUGGAUCUUGAGUUUUAGAGACUAAAAUCCCGAGUUUUAGCAAGGCAAAACAAUGGAACUUAACUCUACCAAGGUAAAAAAAAAUUCUACUGAAAUACCCUUUUCGAGUGACCACACAUAUUUGGAUGGCUGCAUCUUGUUACCUGGAGACAUAACUAGAUAAAAUUAUGUAGUUUUUUUCGCAAAGUUUUCUUUGUGUGUGUAUAUAUAUAGAGAGGUAAUUUUAGGGUUGGAAGUUUUGAUUUUGCCAAUUCACAUUUAGACAUGAGUCAUGUCAUCAUUUUUUUUCGUGAGAGUCUUUGUAAAAAUGACAUAUAAGCAAAUUUUUAAAAAUUAUCUGGUAAAUAAUAACUAGGGGAUUACAUUUUUAACUUAC
rnacentral:lncRNA from 1 species